CUUGCAAGAAGCUGGAGAAGUGGUUCGCUUUACACACUCCAGUGCGUGAGAAAUGGAGAAUUUGUCGUGUCUGGUGUUGAAACCAGCAGCUCCUACGAGGCUACCUGGACCUAGGCUUUCUCAAAUGGCAGCUACUGGUUCUGCAACGUUUGUUUCUAGCUUGUCAUUUCCUUCUUCCAUGGACUCUCAACUUCCAAAAACAACAGCAAAACGCUCUUUAAAACCCACCGAAGCGUCGUCUUCAGCAAUUCCCACAAUCCCAUCAGCAACUACCAAUGUUAGAAACACAACCACGGCCGUCUCGACCAAAAAGGUUUUGGUUCCAAUGGGAUUUGGUACAGAGGAAAUGGAAGCUGUUAUAUUGGUGAAUGUUCUGCGCCGUGCUGGUGCAGAGGUGACGGUAGCCUCAGUGGAACCGCAGCUUGAGAUUCAAGCAUCGGGUGGCACUAGAUUGGUUGCUGAUACCACCAUCUCCACCUGUUCUUAUCAAAUUUUUGAUCUCGUGGCAUUGCCAGGAGGAAUGCCUGGGUCAGCACGAUUAAGAGAUUGUGAAAUUCUAAAGAGAAUUACAAGCAAACAAGCUGAGGAAAAGAGGCUGUACGGAGGUAUAUCUAUGGCUCCAGCAGUCACACUUCUCCCUUGGGGACUCCUGAGGAGGAAGCGGACAACAUGCCACCCUGCAUUCUUUGACAAGCUUCCAACCUUCUGGGCUGUCAAAUCAAAUAUUCAAGUUUCAGGAGAGCUUACAACAAGCCAGGGCCCUGGAACUUCUUUUUUGUUUGCUCUAUCCUUAGUAGAGCAGCUCUUUGGGGUGGCUGUGGCCAGGGAGAUUGGAGAAUCAUUGUUCAUGCAUUCUGCUGAUGAGAAACCCACAAAGGAAGAGUUAAACAGAGUUGACUGGGCUGUUGAUCACACUCCUCGUGUUCUAGUUCCAGUUGCAAAUGGUUCAGAAGAGAUUGAAGUAGUUUCUAUUAUAGACAUUCUACGUCGAGCAAAGGUGGAUGUUGUGGUUGCUUCAGUUGAAAAAUCAGUUAAGGUUUUGGCAUCUCAAGGUGUAAAAAUUGUUGCUGACAAGUUAAUUGGUGAUGCUGCGGGGUCAAUAUAUGAUUUAAUCAUUCUUCCGGGAGGAGUUGCUGGUGCUGAACAACUACAGAAAUCUAGGAUUCUUAAGAAGUUGCUCAAAGAACAAGAGGUGGAUGGAAGACUAUGUGGAGCAGUAUGCUCUUCCGCCACAAUCCUGCACAAGCAUGGUCUGCUGAAGGAGAAGAGAGCCACUGCUCAUCCCUCUACCACUAGGGAACUCACCGAUGUAGUAGAUGGUCCCAUAGUAGUUAUUGAUGGUAAACUGAUAACAAGCAGGGGACUUGCUACCGUUUCAGAUUUUGCACUGGCUAUUGUGAGCAAGUUUUUUGGCCAUGCAAGGGCUAGAAGUGUUGCAGAAGGCCUCGUUUUUGAGUACCCUAGGAGUUAGAAGAUCUAAUUUUGAGUCAUAGCUGAUGAAUGGCAAUUUUUCAGAUGCCAUUUAAACAUAAAGAUCAGAUUAUAAUCCCUCAACUUGGACCACUAGCGGAAGGACAAAACCAUCACAAAAACAUGCUCAGCCAAAUCCUAAAUGCUCCAUGUUAGAGUUAGUGCUUUUCUUUGAAAAGUAUCUGCCCUUUUUUUCUUUUGUAUAUGCCUUGCCAUAAACAGAGGCCACACCUGUCUGUGAGGUCCAAAGCAGGAAAAUGACAAUGUGACUUAUCAAUUGUCAUAGCCAUAUUCGGGUGAGGAGCUGCUAUCAAAUCUUCAAAUAUCUACCAAUGUGGCAAACCAAGCUACAGGCCUAUUUUUGGUCUUUUAGGAGCAAGUAGAUUUUUCUAAGCAUCGGCAUUUCUGGAUAUCUGGACUCGCUUUCACCAAACAGCAUCUUUCUCUGCAGUCAUUUUCUUCCAAAGGUUUCUGUAGUCUCCUACGCAAAGAAUUGUAAGGUAGUUUAUGCUCUUGGGGGCCGAAUCAAAUUAGAAAGCGGAUGAGACAUCCACGUAGCUCAUAGGGUGGGAUAAAGGAUUGGGAUGGAAGAGGUUGGGAUUAUCGCCAUCUGUUGAGUACGGGCUGGAACAUGUCUCCUGUCUGCAUCAAGACAAAAAUAUUUUCGCUUCUUCUGUUGACUUUUCGAAAGUUAAACGUACACGACUUUUGUUCUUUCUCAA